rnacentral:rRNA from 1 species
UACGGAGGGUGCGAGCGUUGUCCGGAAUCACUGGGCGUAAAGGGCGCGUAGGUGGCCUGUGGAAGUCUGCGGUGAAAGCCCGGCGCUCAACGCCGGGUCGGCCGUGGAUACUCUCGGGCUUGAGCUUACUAGAGGCAGAUGGAAUUCCGGGUGUAGCGGUGGAAUGCGUAGAGAUCCGGAAGAACACCGGUGGCGAAAGCGGCUCUCUGGAACGGUACUGACGCUGAGACGCGAAAGCGUGGGGAGCGAACAGG